UUCAUUAGGACGAAAUCAGCAAGGGGGGAAGCCAUAGUUAGGGUUUUCAAGCUUCCAAGCUCCAUAAUCAAGAAGAACGAAACUCGAGGUUAGACAAAGGGAAGAAUAAAGUUGAAGACUAAGUUGUUGAAUUGGACUAUAUUUGAUACCGAGUAUUGCAAAGCUACUUCAAGGAUCCUAAAGAAGUCGGAGAUCGUCCACACUAUCAACCACAACUGCUCGGUAUUUUAUAUCGAAACACGUUUGAGUUAUGGCAUGUAUAGGGAUUUAGUUAUUUUGUAUGUUUGUGAUUAUGAUUUUGCUAAAGAAUGGUGUGUAAGUAUUUGAUGAUGUAUGGUUAUUAAAAUGGUUAAGUAUGAAGGUAUUUGUUGUUAUAA